rnacentral:rRNA from 1 species
GAUGAACGCUGGCGGCGUGCCUAAUACAUGCAAGUAGAACGCUGAAGGAAGGAGCUUGCUCUUUCCGGAUGAGUUGCGAACGGGUGAGUAACGCGUAGGUAACCUGCCUGGUAGCGGGGGAUAACUAUUGGAAACGAUAGCUAAUACCGCAUAACAGUAGAUGUUGCAUGAUAUCUACUUAAAAGGUGCAAUUGCACCACUACCAGAUGGACCUGCGUUGUAUUAGUUAGUUGGUGAGGUAACGGCGCACCAAGGCGACGAUACAUAGCCGAACUGAGAGGGUGAUCAGCCACACUGGGACGGAGACAGGGCCCAGACGCCUAGGGGAGGCAGCAGGAGGGAAACUUCAGCAAGGGACGGAAGUCUGACCGAGAAACGCCGCGGGAGGGAAGAAGGGUUUCGGGUCGUAAAGCCCUGUUGUAGGAGAAGAACGAGUGUGAGAGUGGAAAGUUCACACUGUGACGGUAUCUGACCAGAAAGGGACGGCUAACUACGUG